rfam:Oryza glaberrima chromosome 4 Oglab04_0265_3, whole genome shotgun sequence.
AACAAGGCAAACCCUGAGUUUCUGUGUCCAACUUUGACUGUCCGUCUUAUAUGAAAUUUUUUUAUAAUUCGUAUUUUCGUUGUUGUUAGAUGAUAAAACAUGAUUAAUAUUUUAUGCGUGACUUGUCCUUUUAAUUUUUUUAUAAUUUUUUUAAAUAAGACGGACGAUUAAACGUUGGGCACGGAAACCAGGGUUUGUCUUUUU